GUUGAAGCAGGUUGGCAGAGGUAGCCAGGCAUCAUGGCGGCCCUUGUCAGUGGAGAGAACGGCCGCUAUUUUGCCUGUUAUUCUUCCAUCGUAACUAAAUGAGAUAGUAAUUGACGAACACAACACACCACGUGGAGAGAAGCAAGGUGUGGAGUACCCAAGCCUCUCACAGUCCAUGCUAGUAGACUCACCCUGCAUGUGGAGAUCUCCCAAAAUGCACGGAGGUUAUUCCAGAGCUGCAGGACAGAGUACUUGAGGCCAUUGGUGAACAGAAAGCUGAGGUUGAACAAAGCCAAGAAUUGAUAGCUGCCCAAGGUGUAAGCAAGAUUCACAAUGAUGAGGUCAUUGUGACGUGUGCAAUGUGUCCACUGGUCUUGGCCUUCCUGACCAAGGCAGCCACACAAAGGAAAUUCCACGUUAUUGUUGCCGAACGUGCCCCUAAAUAUGAUGGUCACCCAGUGGCAAAAGCUUUAUGUACUGCUGGAAUUGAGACAACAUUAAUUCAAGACUCUGCAGUGUUCCCCAUCAUGUCACGUGUCAACAAGGUCAUCAAAGGUCAUCGUUGGCACCGAGACGGUGGUGACCAACGGAGGCAUUGAGACCUUUGUUGGUGCAGCCUCUCUUGCCUCACCACCAAAGUUUUAUUCUGUUCCACUGUAUGUGUGCACUCCCACAUACAAAUUUAGCUUGAUGGGCUGUGAAGAAAUAAGCCACCAAACCACCACUUCUAUUAUCCCAGAGGGAACAAAGUUUUGGCCGUCUGUAAAUACUGCGCUGACUCAGCUAGAUUACGUUCCUCCAGAAAAUGUCACCAGUUUGAUAACUAACAAAUUCCUUCAUGGUCCUCACUAACCCUCCAUGCAGUAGACUGAGCAAUACCCAAGUUCUUGGAUCUGAAGGUAUUGGAAUAGUGUGACCAAGGUUCCUUCACCAGGGUAUUAACAGACUGGAGUAUGAAGGGAACCAUGUAUAUUUUACUAUAUCAAUAUGUACACAAAACAUAUUAAAUAUACCCAUACCAACCUUUAAUAACUACUGUGAGGAAAGGAAGCACACUGGCCAUGCUGGUCUACACAGGCAAAGAACCAAAAGGCUACUUUACAGGACAAAAAUAAUGUUAACACACAAGUGAUGCUCUACACCAGCCUCCCGCAGCCUCAGAGCCCAGCUGGUGCUCCCUUCCUCCUCACCAGAAUUAUCAAGGUACAUCUCUGGUUCCUGUGUGAGUUUAUACAUUUACCAGACAGUCCUAUAGAUUCUCUCUUACAGGAAUAAUAAUAAUGGGAUAGGGUGGGGGUGAUAACAGUCGAAACCAAGGAGCAGGAGGGUGGCUGGGUGAGCUAGUCUGUGGGAAAUGAGAAAUCUGCCUCACAGCCUGACUCAUCGGAGGACACCACUCACCUGUGCCAUUGGGGAACUCACGAUAACCUAAUAUCACGAAUCCCGUAUAAAAACUCGCCAGCAGUCACUUCAAGGGUAACUUUACUUAAGGUAUAAAAUAUGAAACUCUCCCCCCACCCAAGGAGAAGCACCUCAUGCCUGCCCUCCUCCUACAAUGGCAGCAACAGCAGCAGCCUUCCACUGCCUCCUAUCAUGCACCCUGCUGCCUUGCUCAAAUUCCAGCUGCAACCUUUCAGUCCCAUGGAGCAAUGGCAUUAAAAGGGCCUAUGCAACUUGAACAAAUGUUAGAAGUCUGAAGAAGCAUCCAAUGAAAAAUUCCCAGUAGUAUUUUAAUUAUGGAGUUGCAUAGUUCAGCCAUUUUCUAUCACAAGCACCCAAUUUCUUUUUUCCUUAAUGUUCUGUGUUCAAUAAUAUCACUAUAUAUUGCUGGGGAGAGAACGUUCCUCACCACCAGGGACAGGGCUCACCACUCCUCUUUGUGACAGCUCUCCAGGCAACACAGCAAUGCUUCAAUGUUAACAUCAUAAUCCCAUAAUCAUAAUCCCAUCAUAAUUCAUUACUUCAAUUACACUUACAACACCUCUCUGAGCACUGGUAACUUGCACAACACCAAUGACAUCUGCACCUUCAUAUUGCAACAAGUGAAUGCGAUGGAGCACAGCACCCAAGCAUUGUUAUCUGCAUUGGCCCUUCAAACUCUCCACAAAACCUGGUGUUACGAAGUGAUGAAAGUUUGGGUCCCCCUAAAAAGAAUAAUCUCUGUAACAAUAUAUGCAUUAUAAUAAAAUUGCACUGUAGAAUAUGUCCACUACUACCACUGGUAUUUGUCUGUUAAAUGAAAUAUAGCUGUGAAUUAAGUAAGGCUACUAAUGAAGCUAACAAGGAACGCAAGCUAAAGUGUGACACAAGAGCUGUAGGUUGUGGCUCUCUCCCAAAUGGAAUUAUCUCUAAAAAUGAAAGAAGAGUAACUCAACACCACCUGAACCUUUCCAAAGUGAGUUAAGUAUAUAGAGUUCAUUUCUUUAUUACAGCCUAAGAACAGGAAGGGUUGGGAGACACUGCACCACCAGCAGCCUUCAUGUCACACAACAAAGGUGAUAACCAACAGUUGUCAGACCCUGCACAUGAGAUGCCACACACAAUUAUACCACACCACUCACUCACCCACUUGUCUUUCACACCACCACUACCAGUGCCACCAUCACUGACAAGGGUGGCAACCAAAUCCUCUACUACCAGACAGUAAAACAGAACAGCAUUCACCUGAUCACAUGUCACACACAGUUGCAGCAGACUUCUCCCAUUCACCCCUCCCAACACCAC